GGGGAUGUCAUGGUUUCGACAGGAUUUCGUUUGAUUCGAAUUGCAGUGGAGUUGCUACCUAAUAGCUAAAAAAAAUUAACUGGAAACAACAGUUUACAAUUCGCUGCUUAAUUAGCGUUUAACGCUGCAGCCUGAUAUCGGGCGUUUGGUCUUUGGGCAAUCGAUAUCAACUCACUCACAAAGAAUAAGGGCCAGCACUGCUCGGUGUAUGCCACGAAAAUUUUAGAGCACAUCAAAGGAAGAUUUGUCUGGAGCUUGAACUUUGAUUAUUUAGAAACAGACUAAACUGUAGACAUUCGAAUGUGGAACACUUCUUGGACGCGAGUUCGACUCUCGCCAUCUCCACCA
rfam:Erysipelothrix rhusiopathiae str. Fujisawa DNA, complete genome.